UACGUAGGGUCCGAGCGUUUGUCCGGAAUCAUUGGGCGUAAAGAGCGUGUAGGCGGCUUGGUAGGUCCCGUGUUAAAGCCUGCGGCUCAACCGCAGAAUCGCACGGGAAACCAUCUGGCUAGAGUCCGGAAGAGGAGAGCGGAAUUCCUGGUGUAGCGGUGAAAUGCGCAGAUAUCAGGAAGAACACCCGUGGCGAAGGCGGCUCUCUGGGACGGUACUGACGCUGAGACGCGAAAGCGUGGGGAGCGAACAGG
rnacentral:rRNA from 1 species